GGGGCAAAGGACCAUUUCAUGAAAGAGGUUCCUUAAGACUAUCAGUGGAGGCCCCAAGGACGCGCUACACACGCGAAAUCGUCUUUCACUUCGAAGAUUUAGUUGUUUCAUUUGGAGGCGCAGCGGGACUCUUCCUUGGAGCAAGUUUCAUAAGUUUCGUGGAAAUUAUAUACUUUGCUAUGGAGAAAUUAUUCAAGGUUUUCUCGACCGAAGAGAAGAUAAAACCAGUGAUAAAACAGAAACGACCGUACGAGGAACGAAUAGAAGAAAUAGGAAUCAUGCUAAAAUCCCUUAAUUCACGGCAAAUACCAUAGGAAAAGUAACUACGAACGCGACGUGAAUAUUUUAUUUGCUUUACGCAACCAAUGAUUAGAUUAUAAUUAAUGGAUUAGUUGAAUAAGUUCAA